GGGCACUUCACGGGCGAAGGUCGGGACCAGGCCUUUGUAGAGGCCCCUCAGACCCCCUUCGGAUUUGAGUACAUGCUUGGCCACAUCCAUUGGUCCACCGUACUUAACUGCGCUGACAGAGGGGCCAGAGACUGGUGCCAAGGAACUUUGCGCCUGCAGCCUGCAUUUGAUCAACUCAGUAGGACAAGCUAACAACGAAACCGCGACUCCUGCACCCGCACCACAAACAACC
rnacentral:misc_RNA from 1 species